GCGGUCGUGGCGGAACUGGCAGACGCGCGGGACUUAGGAUCCCGUGGGCAUCCCCGUGUGGGUUCGAGUCCCACCGACCGCA
rnacentral:tRNA from 1 species